rnacentral:rRNA from 1 species
UACGGGAAGGCAGCAGUGGGGAAUAUUGCACAAUGGGCGAAAGCCUGAUGCAGCUAUGCCGCGUGUAUGAAGAAGGCCUUAGGGUUGUAAAGUACUUUCAUCGGGGAGGAAAAAACAAAACUAAUAAUUUUAUUUCUUGACGUUACCCGAAAAAGAAGCACCGGCUAACUCCGUGCCAGCAGCCGCGGUAAUACGGAGGGUGCUAGCGUUAAUCAGAAUUACUGGGCGUAAAGAGCACGUAGGUGGUUUUUUUAAGUCAGAUGUGAAAUCCCUGGGCUUAACCUAGGAACUGCAUUUUGAAACUGAAAUACUAGAGUAUCGUAGAGGGAGGUAGAAUUCUAGGUGUAGCGGUGAAAUGCGUAGAUAUCUGGAGGAAUACCUGUGGCGAAAGCGGCCUCCUAAACGAAUACUGACACUGAGGUGCGAAAAGCGUGGGGAGCAAAACAGGGAUUAGAUACC